AUCGAAAGCGUCCUUAUAGUCAUUCGAGGCAGAAUGAGUUCGCGGGAAAGUAAAUGGAUUCUCACAGUACAAGAUGUUUUAUAGUUAGUGUUAACGUUUAGCUAGCCAUAUAUCUAAAAAAUAAUGAACGUAUGUUGGAUUGUAUGAUUGAUGAGUUUAUCGUUGGAUAGUUUGAGUUCUGACAACUUGAAAGUCCCGCAUUCAAAGGUGGAACGUUUCGUGGCUAGCUUGCUAGCUACUGUAGCGUUAUUGGCACCAAUUCAUUGGUUAAUCGUAGCCAGAAUAAGCAAUCUUUUGUACGGAGACAAAGAGCUCACCUCUAUUGCUUGCUAGCUAGUUGUGUAACGUUUUAAUACUUGUCGUUUUGAAAAUGAGUUUAUUUAAUUUGGACCGGUUUCGUUUUGACAAUAAUAAAACGACGUCAAACCAGGACAAAUACACCGGUUCCGUAAGUCCAGAGUCAGAAAAGGAGAAUAAACCAGCACGAGUAACAACACCUAUAGCCAACCUUGGAAAACCUGGGCGAGGAGUAGUGUUUGAAGAUGUCAUCAGUGACCCUGAUGACGAUUUGGCAAGUGAUUCGAGGAGGGAUAAAUUAACGAAAGUGGUGAAGGAACCAGUGAAGCUAGAGGUAAGAGAGAUGACUGAGCAAUAUGAUAAGGAAGACCAAGUUGACAAGGCGCUGGAAGAGAGACUGGACAAACUGCAGGAAAUCUUCCCUAACAGAAACAGGAAGGAGUUGUU